GUGGCACCAGUUGGCUAGGCUUCUGGGGCUCGGAAGCCGCGCACUCCCGACUCCUCCCGCCUCCGGGAUGGCAUCCCCAAGGGAAUUGACUCAAAACCCCCUGAAAAAGAUCUGGAUGCCGUACAGCAACGGGCGGCCCGCCCUACACGCCUGCCAGCGCGGUGUCUGCAUGACCAACUGCCCCACGCUCAUCGUCAUGGUGGGCCUGCCAGCCAGGGGCAAAACCUACAUCUCUAAAAAGCUGACCCGCUACCUGAACUGGAUUGGCGUGCCCACGCGAGAGUUCAACGUUGGCCAGUAUCGCCGGAACGUGGUCAGGACGUACACCUCCUUCGAGUUCUUCCUUCCGGACAACGAAGAGGGCCUGAAGAUCAGGAAGCAGUGUGCCCUGGCAGCCCUCCAUGACGUCCGGCGGUUCCUUAGUGAGGAGGGGGGACAUGUGGCGGUUUUUGAUGCAACAAAUACCACCCGUGAACGGAGGGCGACCAUCUUUAAUUUUGGGGAACAGAAUGGCUACAAGACCUUCUUCGUUGAGUCCAUCUGUGUGGACCCUGAGGUCAUAGCUGCUAACAUCGUGCAAGUGAAACUGGGCAGCCCGGACUAUGUCAACCGUGACAGUGACGAGGCCACAGAGGACUUCAUGAGGCGCAUCGAGUGCUAUGAGAGCUCGUACGAGUCUCUGGAUGAGGGCCUGGACAGGGAUCUGUCGUACAUCAAGAUCAUGGACGUGGGGCAGAGCUACGUGGUGAACCGAGUGGCCGACCACAUCCAGAGCCGCAUCGUGUAUUACCUCAUGAACAUCCACGUCACCCCCCGCUCCAUCUACCUCUGCCGGCACGGGGAGAGCGAGCUCAACCUCAAGGGCCGGAUCGGCGGGGACCCAGGACUGUCCCCCCGGGGCCGGGAGUUUGCCAAGAGUCUGGCCCAAUUCAUCAGUGACCAGAACAUCAAGGACCUGAAGGUUUGGACCAGCCAGAUGAAGAGGACGAUCCAGACGGCCGAGGCCCUGGGUGUGCCCUACGAGCAGUGGAAGGUCCUCAACGAGAUCGAUGCGGGCGUCUGUGAGGAAAUGACCUACGAGGAAAUCCAGGAUCAUUAUCCACUGGAGUUUGCCCUGCGGGACCAGGACAAAUACCGCUACCGGUACCCCAAGGGGGAGUCCUACGAGGACCUGGUCCAGCGACUUGAGCCUGUCAUCAUGGAGCUGGAGAGGCAAGAGAACGUGCUGGUCAUCUGCCACCAGGCCGUGAUGCGCUGCCUGCUGGCCUACUUCCUGGACAAGACGGCAGAAGAGCUGCCCUACCUCAAGUGCCCGCUGCACACGGUGCUGAAGCUGACCCCCGUAGCCUACGGUUGUAAAGUGGAGUCCAUAUACCUGAAUGUGGCGGCGGUGAACACGCACCGGGACAGGCCACAGAAUGUAGACAUCUCGCGGCCUCCAGAGGAAGCCCUUGUCACAGUCCCUGCCCACCAGUGACCCCGUCUCAUCCACUGCGACCCCCAGGCAAGCGUUGGUCUCUGCAGACCCCCGUCCCUGUGACAGUCGCCAUGCAGGAACACCCUCAAAGCCAUGUGUGGCUGGGGCCCCCACACCUGCACCCCGUCCACCUGUGUCCUGUUGACAGUGACAGGGCUGUACCCGAUGCUGCUGGAAAUCAUUUGGCCGGACUGCGCCUGCUCCGGGCUGGUGGGACGUCGCCAGCGCCUGGUCCUGCUCCGGUAGCCUUCAGGUCUUCCCUUUCACCGCCGGGUUGGCUCUCUGAAGUGCGAAACCCUAAAAUGUGAAACUGGGUGUUCCCACCGUGGCCAAGCUGCCUGGGCGCCCCUGGGGACCUCUGCAGGGGUGCUGCUGGCCUGUCUGUGGCCAGUUCCCGAGCCAGCGGCACGAGAGGUGAGGUCCUCACGGCUGCUGAGCUCUGCUGCCCUGGGUGAGAGGAGGGCCCUUACCGUCCUUGUCAUCGAGCCCCGCCUGGAGCUGGAGAGCUUCCGCCUCCUCGGACACCUGGGUGGCCAGGCUGUGGGUCUGCGCCCCUCCGGAAGGUGAUGGGCUCGCAUGGAGGCGAUGGGCCGUGCAGACGCGUGCCGGAAGCUCAGCACCAUGGUCACCCUUCCCCGUCAUGUACACUGGAGGAUUUUAGGAGCUGGUGGCCAAGGCCCCCUGCUCUCUCAGUGAAACCAGGGAAAGAUGGGGGCGGGGGUGGUUGUUUGAAUCACCUUCCCGGUGCACUUGCCUGAGACUGGAGACUCAAGGGGGAGGCUGCCAGCCCAUCUCCUUCCCUGCCCCGCCCCCUUGCCCACCAGUCUUCCUCCGGGCCCUUGCGCUUGUGUCCACACCAGUGCGCGCACUGGGCCCGGGACAGGCAUCUGCUGUGAAAGAGUCAGACAAGCUUGUGGUGGUCCUGCUCAGCCUGGCCUGGCCUCGGUUAACCUCCACCUGUGGUGCUGAGCAGAGGGGAGGCUGGAACCCAGAAGCAGCCUUGUCCAGGGGGCGCUUUCUCAGACACAUCACAGCUUUGAUUCACGUGCAGAGGAGCUUGUUGAAAAUGACCUCGGGAGUCUGCCGUCUGUCACACCUCCGAGUCCUGUUGGGCCCAGAGAGGCAGGCCAGGCAGCAAUUCCAGCUCCGUUUUAUAGCCCGGAGACACCAACAGGCUGGGGGUGGGUGGGAAAUGUCUGGGUUUGUAGUUGAAUGCCUGCUGCCCACUGGGGACCUUGGUGAAGCCAGGCCCUGGGACCCAAAGCCCACUUGGUCCCUGCAGCCUUCCCAGGGCUUUGCAGCCCCCAGGUGCCUCCUGCCCAGCGGGUGGUCUCGAUCUUGUGUGCUGCAGCCACUGUGGACAAGCAUGGUGGGGAGAUGAUGUCGGGUGAGGCCAGGGUAGCAUCCUCCCGGACUUACCUCCCGUCAGAGCCCUGGAGCUGGAGGACCGAGCCCCAGUCUUUGGGAUGAGGGGACUUCUGCCUUUGCUCCUGUGUCCACUGGGGUUUUGGUGGACACACUCACUUGUUAGCCAUAGCGGGUCCCUUUGUCCCUUUGGUUGGUGGCACACAUCUGUGGAUAUCACCGCUUCUCCAGGACCUCAGGCCGGCUGUCGAGGCGAGACCAGCGAAGCCUUUUUACUCUGUGUCCAGAGGGAGGUCAGGACCUGUGGGACCUGGGUGUGUCACAAGGACUGGGCCUGGGGCCACAGCGUGAACUUGGGCGGCCCUGCCCACCUCUGUCUGCAAUGGCUCUCGGCUGCCAGGUCUCAGCCACGACGGUCACUGUGCCUCUGUGGUGAGGCCAGGGAGCAGCCUGGCCGUCCUCAUCCUGUGUCCCAGCGCUGAGCUCCUGGGGUGGACCCCUGACCUCCUGAGAGGCUUCGGCACAUUGGAAGAAGGUGUUCAAGAUUUUUAGCAGCAAAACCAUAGCAGAAGGAAUAAAAUAUAAUGAUCAGAA